rnacentral:rRNA from 1 species
GAUGAACGCUGACAGAAUGCUUAACACAUGCAAGUCUACUUGAACUUCGGUUUGGGUGGCGGACGGGUGAGUAACGCGUAAAGAACUUGCCUCACAGAUAGGGACAACAUUUGGAAACGAAUGCUAAUACCUGAUAUUAUGAUUUUAGGGCAUCCUAGAAUUAUGAAAGCUAUAUGCACUGUGAGAGAGCUUUGCGUCCCAUUAGCUAGUUGGAGAGGUAACGGCUCACCAAGGCGAUGAUGGGUAGCCGGCCUGAGAGGGUGAUCGGCCACAAGGGGACUGAGACACGGCCCUUACUCCUACGGGAGGAAGCAGUGGGGAAUAUUGGACAAUGGACCAAGAGUCUGAUCCAGCAAUUCUGUGUGCACGAUGAAGUUUUUCGGAAUGUAAAGUGCUUUCAGUUGGGAAGAAAAAAAUGACGGUACCAACAGAAGAAGUGACGGCUAAAUACGUG